GUCUACGGCCAUACUACCCUGAACAAGCCCGAUCUCGUCUGAUCUCGGAAGCUAAGCAGGGUCAGGCCUGGUUAGUACUUGGAUGGGAGAACAUGAGAGUGCUGGAGGUGAAAUAGUUA